rnacentral:siRNA from 1 species
UGGCUGCUUGUCGAAAGAAUG